rnacentral:misc_RNA from 1 species
CACAGAUCUCGAUGUAAAUAUUGGAUAUAAGAACUAUUACAUUUGUCCUUACAUAAAGUUGAGCUUAUGGUAGCUGCACCCUUGGAAAUUCUUGCACCAGAAGAAGACGAUUGAUGGACCAACUCUUAAGCCUUCUUAUCUUCUGUGGCAAAGACAACAAAAACUGACAAAAUAAAAGUUAUCAAAUGACAACACUAAUUUGUUUGUCAUCCAAGGAAUUGCAGAUAAG